UACGGGGGGAGCAAGCGUUGUUCGGAUUUACUGGGCGUAAAGGGCGCGUAGGCGGCCACCGCAAGUCGACUGUGAAAUCUCCGGGCUUAACCCGGAAAGGUCAGCCGAUACUGCGGGGCUAGAGUGCAGAAGGGGCAACUGGAAUUCUCGGUGUAGCGGUGAAAUGCUUAGAUAUCGAGAGGAACACCUGCGGCGAAGGCGGGUUGCUGGGCUGACACUGACGCUGAGGCGCGAAAGCUAGGGGAGCGAACGGG
rnacentral:rRNA from 1 species